rnacentral:lncRNA from 1 species
UGUAGUCAAGUACUUGACUUGUCGGUGCGUGUGUCAAGAUGGGAUUGACCACUACAGUUUAGGAGCUGUGUAUAGUCGUAUUUCAAUUUAGCAAAAUCUUGGCCAGGGUAGUCCUUGUGAGGAGUCACAGGACUGUUUGAGUUGAGCACGAUUCGGAUGAUCUGAUCAGGGUUGACAGUUUAACCCUGAGUCAUCCUAAACACAGAGGUCAAAAGGAUGAAUUAUACAGUAACCAUAUUCACGUAGGUUCUGAGUGUUG